rnacentral:rRNA from 1 species
CAAUAGCGUAUAUUAAAGUUGUUGCGGUUAAAAAGCUCGUAGUUGGAUUUCUGCCGAGGACGACCGGUCCGCCCUCUGGGUGAGUAUCUGGCUCGGCCUGGGCAUCUUCUUGGAGAACGUAGCUGCACUUGACUGUGUGGUGCGGUAUCCAGGACUUUUACUUUGAGGAAAUUAGAGUGUUUCAAGCAGGCUUACGCCUUGAAUACAUUAGCAUGGAAUAAUAAGAUAGGACCUCGGUUCUAUUUUGUUGGUUUCUAGAGCUGAGGUAAUGAUUAAUAGGGAUAGUUGGGGGCAUUCGUAUUUAACUGUCAGAGGUGAAAUUCUUGGUUUUGUUAAAGACGGACUACUGCGAAAGCAUUUGCCAAGGAUGUUUUCAUUGA